CUUCGAUUUCCUCCCGCAGGCCACACCCACGCGCCAGCUUUCCACACACUCCCUUCUCCCGCCUCUGUGCCACCAGCCGGGCUACUCCCAUCGCCCUUUCAGCCGUUCCCAACCCCCAAGCGAUCCACCACCAGGAUAUCCCCCCGCCAGCAGGUCCCCAGCCGGACUCCCUUCCAUCCACCCCUGCGACGCCCCCGUCCCAGCACCCCUGGCCCGGCCCUGCUAAACCCGGCUCCCCGCGCCGCAUCGGCCCGCCAGCAACAGCCCCCGCUGCCCCCUCGCCUCUGCCCGGGAGGAGGUCACUCCAGGCCAAGGCGCCCUGGCUGCGCUUUUCUGAGCAAAGGAAAUAGGAGUGAGACUCUUGAGAUCCUGAGACAAAAGCUACUUCUGGUUUUACACUGCUGACUUAUUGGAGCAAGCAGGCUGGUUCAAGGAAAAAAAAACAUUGGAGUUCCUGUUGUGGCCCAGUGGUAACAAACCUGACUAGUAUCAUGAGGACGUGGGUUCGAUCCCUGGCCUCACUCAUUGGGUUAAAGAUUCAGCGUUGCCCUGAACUGUGGUGUAGGUGGUAGUUCCCACACAUCUUGGGUGUGGCCCUAAGAAGACAAGAAAGAAAGAAAGAGAGAGAGAGAGAGAGGGAGGGAGGGAGGGAGAGAGAAAGAGAAGGAAAGAAAAGGAUAGAAAAGAAAAGAAAAGAACAUUGCCCUGACGUGGAGAGGCUGGGCCCUCACCCCCCAGCGCCAGCAUUGGACAUCCAGGGAACAAAUCCCCAAACUUCCCCGGGUCCCCUUCUCCAGUCUGUUAAGUGACUGAUGCGCAGAGCCAUCUCUAAGCUGCCUCCAGAUUCCGUCACUCCAUGGGCAAUGCCACUGUGGCUUCUGCAUAAAAAGCCCUAAAUCUCCUACACUGACGGCUCUCUGCCCGCAGGACCAGCCAUCACUCAGCCCCGCCAACAAAGCUGACAUCUGCGUUCUCCCCUCCCCACCAGUGGGACCCUCCAAAGGUUUCUUUGAACUUUCUCCCUCUGGAGUCAUCUGCUGGUACCC
rnacentral:lncRNA from 1 species